AACGAACGCUGGCGGCAGGCCUAACACAUGCAAGUCGAACGCUCGUAGCAAUACGGGAGUGGCAGACGGGUGAGUAACACGUGGGAACCUUCCCUAUGGUUCGGAAUAGCUCAGGGAAACUUGGGGUAAUACCGGAUAAGCCCUUCGGGGAAAGAUUUAUCGCCAUUGGAUGGGCCCGCGUCGGAUUAGCUAGUUGGUGAGGUAACGGCUCACCAAGGCAACGAUCCGUAGCUGGUCUGAGAGGAUGAUCAGCCACACUGGGACUGAGACACGGCCCAGACUCCUACGGGAGGCAGCAGUGGGGAAUCUUGCGCAAUGGGCGAAAGCCUGACGCAGCGACGCCGCGUGAGGGAUGACGGCCUUCGGUUGUUAACG
rnacentral:rRNA from 1 species